UUGCUCGGUCGGUAUAGUUUGCUUGCGGACUAAAACCACAUAGUUUUUCUUUUGUUGUUUUUAGUAGUAUUGCAUUUGUUUCAAAGCAAAUUAUGAGCUUUUUAUCUGGUAAAUUGGAACGUUUCAGUAAGAUUUACUGUUUCUCAGAUGUUGCUGUCAUGAAGUAUAAAAACAGGAGGAGUUUCUGAGGACAGAAACCAUUCUUCUUACAGCUAUAUUCAUAAAAGGGACAGUGAUUAUACAAUUCAAUAAUUUAACCAACAUGUACAAUUCAUCAACUAGACAUUAAUGCCUUAUUAAGCUCAUUCCUUAAAAAUAUAUGUACAAAUAUCAAUUGAAAGUCUUUUAUACAGUAUACCAUAUAAACAGCAUCAUAAAAAGCUUAGUUCAUCUUGUAUUUAAAAUACUCAUCCAACGUGUAGAAUGAAUGGGAAUACAAGAAAUUUUUAAAAUAAUCAGUUCUUGCAUAAAAUUUAUUUUCUCUUCAUUUAUUAAUUAAUCUGUUAUAUUGGAGGAAGUCUACACCACUUCUGACAUGCUGUCAAUGAAAUUUGUUGUCAAUAAAUUAUUAGUGAAUUUUUUAUUGCUAAUAACAUCAAAGAUUGAAUAAAUGGUGUCUUUUUUCAUACAGGUCAGUGCUGGAGAUGGUUUGCCUGCCCAGGUAUGUCAGCAGUGUGUUGAACUGGUCAAUACUUGUUACAACUUUAAACUGCAGUGUGAGAAGUCAGAUAUGAUGUUAAGAUGUCAUGUUAGCAUUCACUCUCAAUGUGAACAGCAGGAUGAAGGGCAUGUAAAACUUAAGGACCCUCCUAGGGUGGUUGAUGGUGACAGUGCUGCUUCAUCAUUAUCAGCUACUAACUCAACACCAGAAUUCAAACAUAAAGAAGAUAAGCCAGAACAAAUAUACAUCAGAAAGUCAAAGGCAGGGUUUAAUCUAGCAAGGUGUUCAGAAAAAGGAACAAGAUCACUUCAUACACACAGUGCUUAUGAUGUGAAUACUGAGAAUUCCGACAGUAAAAAAAACAAGUCACUUCAAAAACAAGUUUCUCAUUGUUCAGGAGAUGUAAAAGGAGCUAUAGAGAAUGGCCAUAAGCUAGUCCAAAGUAUACAUAAACAUCAUUAUGAAAAUUUUAACAUUUUCACAAAGAUAUCUGGAAAGAUUUUGAAGGUAAAAUCCCAUGUUACUGUUCCUGCAAAGUACCGGCCAUGUGAAGUGUGUGGUAAAUCUGUACAAAAGUUGAAUCUACACAUGAAGAUGCAUACAGGUGAGAAACCAUACCAGUGUUCCAUUUGUGGUCAGAGGUUUAUUCAGAAAAGUAGCUUACAGAAACAUGACACUCUACAUACAGGGGAGCGGCCAUAUAGUUGUAGUCUGUGUAGUAAAACAUUUAGGUGCAAGUCUGAUUUAAACCAACACACUAAGUUACACACAGGGCAUGCACACAAAUGUGCCAUAUGUGAAAAGGAAUUUACAACUCGUCAGAAUUUGGACAGUCACAUAAGGACCCACACAGGAGAGAAGCCAUAUCUGUGUCAUGCAUGUGGUAUGCACUUCGCACAGAAAGGGGCAUUAACUAAGCAUUCCAGGAUCCAUGCCAAUGAUCGUCCUCACCAGUGUUCAGUAUGUAACAAAAGGUUUAUCACUCAAAGUGCUCUUACCCUUCAUUUUAGAAUCCACACUGGAGAGAAACCUUAUACAUGCGCAACAUGCCAGAAGUCUUUUACUGACAGAGGGUAUUUUAUGCGACAUCUUAUGAUACACUCUGGUGAAAGGAGCUUUGUGUGUUCAGUCUGUGGGAAAGCGUUCACACAACAGAUUAGUUUGAAGAGACAUGUAAGACUUCACACUGGAGAGAAGCCUUUCCACUGUUAUUGUGGGGAAAGUUUUGCCUUGAAACGUGAUCUAAAACGACAUAGUGAGCGAUUUCAUGAAGGAAACAAUUUCCAAUAAAUGUUUUCUUUGUGUCUGGGCACAUAUGGUAUAAAGGAGGCAGGGUAGCUCAAGUUGGUAUAGUGACCAGGUUACAGGGUCUGUCUCUCAACAGGGGCAAGAAGGUAUGCUUAUCUGCAUAGUGUCCAGACUGGCUCUGGGUCCCAACCAGCCUCCUAUCCACUGGGUACUGGGUGCACUCUCCCACGGGUAAAGUGGCAAGGGCAUGAAGCUGACCAAUCACAUGCAACUAGUGCUGAGGUGAAGAAUGGUGGAGGUAUACCUCUGCUUCGCCAUAUGCCUUCAUGGCAUAUUGCUUAAAAGGACAAUAGAGUGGAAUCACAUCAUACACAUAUUUAACUUCCAUGAAUUGAACCAUAUGUGCUUGUGCCCCCCCCUCCCCAGAUUACAAAAUGGAAAUUUAAAUACCACAGGCAAUAUCUGACCACCCCCAAAGUAGUGUUGUCAGGGGCAGAAGAAGACUAUCGUCAGAUUAUCCAUGAUGACUGGUGUAUGUUCAGGCUAAUUGUUUUCCUUUCUUAUUUUCAGUCUUUUGUCUGUUGCUAUAUUUUGUAUGAAAUUAAAAUGAUACAUUUCCCUUAUAUAUUGUCACAUGUAGGGUGGUACGUGCAACAGAAAUGCCGGGUUAAAAUUUGGAUGAUUGGAUUUAUUAGCAGCUUGGACACGCCCUCUUUUAAUCACACUCAAAUUACAGCACUAUCGCUGAUUUACACACACUUCAUAAUUCGCUGUUGCAUGCAUACUAUGAUUCCCAGUCUUCACAGGUCUUCUACGAACUUCCCGUGGCUGUCUCCUAUCAAGAACUCUGUCACUUAAACAAUCUGAAAUACUCUGAAACACUGAAACCUGUUCAAAGUCACAUUGUGACUUACGGUCAGUCAGUCAGUAAGUCUUGGUGUCGAGACCCAUCUAGGGCU